rnacentral:lncRNA from 13 species
AACCCUCAAGAAAGACAGUGCUUUUACCUUCGAGCCCCCAUUCACACCUGACAGCUAAGUAUUUUAAGGCUAAAAUAAUACACCAUAGGCAACAAAGUGUAACUGCUGAGGUAUAAUAAGAACGAGUGGGACAUACAAUCGUCGAGAAACAUAUUGUAUAUGUUGGAAAAGUGAGUACGGUCAAGUGCUUAUUUAAGAAUGAGCGGUGUACACUUAAAUACCGUAAUACUUUGUGAUUACGCUGUGAUUUUUAUAUUUCGUUUUCAAUUAAUAAUGAUACAUGGUGAUAUGUUUUAAAUAGUAUGAUAUACAUUGUUGUAAGGUGGGUCUUAAUCCAUUUGAUAGUAUAAAAAUAAACCGGAUAAAUGUAUUGUGAAAUAUAGUUGCGCUGUUUAGGUUAGUUACGGUAUGAGGUGCGGAGUGGACGAGGUAGCCUCCAUACUUACUAGCGGUUGUUGAGGUCUCUGUGUUUCUGUUAAGUUUAAGACUUGUACUUCGUUAAACUUUUUGUUUUAUUUUCUUCAUUAAUAUGAAGCCAAAUGACACCAUUCUGAAAUAGCUAGGCUCUUUUUGUAUGACACUAUUUAGGGAUAAAGGUGAUGGUUUUUCGAUUUAAGGAACAAGUGUAUGCGAAAGUAUUGUCACAGUGGGACUUGAACUUGCACGACAUUUCGUCAACGGAGUUCGACACAGUGUAUCAAGACUGGGGAGAGGUCGAGAGGCAGAGUCUCAUCGUUGCUGUUGCACCAAUCAGAGGCAAGGCAGAGGUCAAGGGCUUGUCUGGAAGCAGGACACGCCCUAAGUGGCAGAGAUGACGGUCUCUACCUGCUGUACCACCUGGACCAAACUCCCUCUCUGGUGGCUUGUGAUAAUGGUCGUUGCUGGACAGGCCGUAAUGGGGGUAAGUGAGUGGUUUCUACCAACAUUCUUUGAAAUAUCUCAUAGGUUUACAUUAAUUUCGGCCUAAGUGAUAAAGUGAUAAAUUCGGUCUCAAUGUUGCAAAAUUUGAAAUUGUGAUUUUUACAUUGAAUAAAAGUAGAGACUGAGCUAGAAAAUGGUAUAUCAUACAAUACAACUGUGGAACAAUGGGAAAGUAAUUAUGCUUUGAAAGUUGCUAAAAUUGUAACUUCACUUUUGAGAAAAUGGCUCUUGAAUGUUUUGGUAAACCUACUGGAGAGCUCUUCUUUGUCUACACCCAUUCAGCUUUGUUCACACCCUCUUAAGCCUUAGCCCAUCUCUUUAAGGAUUCACAUGUGAGGCAAUGUACUUAACAACCAAACAUUUCAAGACUAAAGGCUGGUUUAUACUACAGGUGUAUUCGUAAAUUCAAUCUGGAGUGCCAGAUUGCGCCCUGGGCGUUCGUAAACUCAGAGCGUUGUCAGGUUGUCCAUUUGUAAAAUUUCAGAGCACACACACUAGAUUCUCUGGCCAAGGAGUAGGGUAGAUCAAAGCGUUCUGACCUAAUAACACCAGUCAAGCUCCCAAGCUAACUGGUAAUGUUGGCUAGCUUGCUAGCUACUUCCAGACACAUGAGAGAACAGCUCACACUGACCAUUUUACUCGCCUUAGCA